rnacentral:rRNA from 1 species
AACAGGAUUAGAUACCCUGGUAGUCCACGCCGUAAACGAUGAGUGCUAGGUGUUGGGGGGCUACGCCCCUCAGUGCCGAAGGUAACCCAUUAAGCACUCCGCCUGGGGAGUACGGCCGCAAGGCUGAAACUCAAAGGAAUUGACGGGGGCCCGCACAAGCGGUGGAGCAUGUGGUUUAAUUCGAAGCAACGCGAAGAACCUUACCAGGGCUUGACAUCCCGCUGACCCCUCCAGAGAUGGAGGUUUCCUUCGGGACAGCGGUGACAGGUGGUGCAUGGUUGUCGUCAGCUCGUGUCGUGAGAUGUUGGGUUCAGUCCCGCAACGAGCGCAACCCUUGUCGUUAGUUGCCAGCAUUUCGGAUGGGCACUCUAACGAGACAGCCGGUGAAAGCCGGAGGAAGGUGGGGAUGACGUCAAAUCAUCAUGCCCCUUAUGUCCUGGGCUACACACGUGCUACAAUGGCUGGUAUAAAGGGCAGCGAACCCGCGAGGGGGAGCCAAUCCCAAAAAGCCAGUCUCAGUUCGGAUCGCAGGCUGCAACUCGCCUGCGUGAAGCCGGAAUCGCUAGUAAUCGCGGAUCAGCAUGCCGCGGUGAAUAUGUUCCCGGGCCUUGUACACACCGCCCGUCACACCAUGAGAGUUUGUAACACCCAAAGCCGGUGGGGUAACCUUUUAGGAGCCAGCCGUCUAAGGUGGGACAGAUGAUUAGGGUGAAGUCGUAACAAGGUAACC